AUUUCAAAUAAGCAUUGGAGGCACCACACGCCUGGUAUCUAUUACAUAUUAAAAUUGUUAUUCAUCAUAUGACCAUCAUGAUAUUCCUUUGGAUCAAUGCUCAGGUUGGCCGAGCCACACUCGGGCCUGGACAUAUAUUUGUUGGAUGCACUUAGUGUGUCAUGUUAAUGGUUGGACUUAACCAGAAUUUUUAGUGGAGAUGCCACACACCUGCUGAAGAAACACCUGGGGUAAAACCCAUUGCUAGAAGUUAUUUAGAAAAAUAAUUGGUUAUGAACCUAUACAUGGAUGCACUA
rnacentral:lncRNA from 1 species